rnacentral:rRNA from 1 species
UAGGGAAUCUUCCGCAAUGGACGCAAGUCUGACGGAGCAACGCCGCGUGAGUGAAGAAGGAUUUCGGUUCGUAAAACUCUGUUGUUAGAGAAGAACAGCGCAUAGAGUAACUGUUAUGCGUGUGACGGAAUCUAACCAGAAAGCCACGGCUAACUACGUGCCAGCAGCCGCGGUAAUACGUAGGUGGCAAGCGUUGUCCGGAUGUAUUGGGCGUAAAGCGAGCGCAGGCGGUCAAUUAAGUCUGAUGUGAAAGCCCCCGGCUCAACCGGGGAGGGUCAUUGGAAACUGGUUGACUUGAGUGCAGAAGAGGAGAGUGGAAUUCCAUGUGUAGCGGUGAUAUGCGUAGAUAUAUGGAGGAACCCCAGUGGCGAAGGCGACUCUCUGGUCUGUACCUGCCGCUGAGGCUCGAAAGCGUGGGUAGCAAACAGU